rnacentral:pre_miRNA from 1 species
AGACGACGAUGAUGAUGAUGAUGGAGGAGGAGGAGAAGGACGACGACGGCGACGACGACGACGAGGAGAAAAAGAUUUUUUUCUUCUUCAUCUUCAUCAUCAUCAUCAUCUUCA